AUUGUUGAGUUCGGUUUACACC
rnacentral:snRNA from 1 species